UUAGAUAGAAAUUGCUUAAUUCUUGCCUUUCUCACCUUUACUGUAUGCUGUGCUGGUUGCUUUGAAGGUACCUCUUAACACCCUUAAAAAGUUGCCAAGAAUUGGGAGACAGCAGAUACUCUUUUGGGCAUGCACCAAAUAGGUUAUUCAUACCUUUCGUAUGUUGAAUAUAUAUAUAUAUAUAUAGAGAGAGAGAGAGAGUUUGUUUUCGUUGUAUAUAUAUAUAUAUAGAGAGAGAGAGAGAGUUUGUUUUCGUUGUAGCAUGUUGCAUUCUUACUCUAUAUACAAAGUAGCUAUUGAUUACAAUAAUUUACCAGCCAUGUUUUGACAAGGAUCCUCAGUUUUUUGGUACAAGAUGGACACUGCUCUCUCUCAUCAGCAGAAUGGAAAAUCUUCAUAAAGUUGUGGAAGGGUGAUUGUAGAACAUUGCAAUAUCAUUGGAUUAGGAUUUUGGUUGGAACACCCAAGCAAACUUGAAGAGAAGCAAUAGUUUCCUAGAAAAUCAUGAAGAUGCAAAGGGACAAGGACAGCGGUAGAUCGAAUAAGAGGCUAGCACAUGCAAAAACCAUGGAGGGAAUUUUGGGCAGUGGACCAAAGUUUUGAUGGUGAGGGGAAGAUAUUGGUGUAAAGAAUGCUCACUUUGAAAACGAGGAUUUGAAUAUUUGUCUUUUGAAGUGGUAGAAUGGAAAUGACAUACCAAAUUCAACCACUAAAUACAAAAAGGUAAGGGUUGUUAUGCUUUGGCAAAUUUACCAAGGAUUGAAAACUGUGCUACUUUUUAUUAGGUCUUGGGUGAAUGGAAUGAUUGGAAAGGUUAUUGGUAUAAAUACAAAUAUUUAUUGUCUUGGAUUUUGCAAAACUGUGUGCUAGACUCAAAACUACUCAUUAGGAUGAUUUUUAUCUCUGACACUAUGAUGAGUGCUCUCCACAUUAAUCGAAAAACGAUGCAUUUUAGCUUUAUCUUUUUUUUUUAUAUGACCUUUGAUGUAUGUAAUUUGGGAGAAAAAAAUCCAACCUUAAU